GAUGAACGCUGGCGGCGUGCCUAAUACAUGCAAGUCGAGCGAACGGACGAGAAGCUUGCUUCUCUGAUGUUAGCGGCGGACGGGUGAGUAACACGUGGAUAACCUACCUAUAAGACUGGGAUAACUUCGGGAAACCGGAGCUAAUACCGGAUAAUAUUUUGAACCGCAUGGUUCAAAAGUGAAAGACGGUCUUGCUGUCACUUAUAGAUGGAUCCGCGCUGCAUUAGCUAGUUGGUAAGGUAACGGCUUACCAAGGCAACGAUGCAUAGCCGACCUGAGAGGGUGAUCGGCCACACUAGAACUGAGACACGGUCCAGACUCCUACGGGAGGCAGCAGUAGGGAAUCUUCCGCAAAGGGCGAAAGCCUGACGGAGCAACGCCGCGUGAGUGAUGAAGGUCUUCGGAUCGUAAAACUCUGUUAUUAGGGAAGAACAUAUGUGUAAGUAACUGUGCACAUCUUGACGGUACCUAAUCAGAAAGCCACGGCUAACUACGUG
rnacentral:rRNA from 1 species